rnacentral:lncRNA from 1 species
GAACGUAAAUGGCGCUCCUCCGCGCCGCAGCCGCAGCCGCCCCGCUCCCUUCCCGCUCCGCCAGCUGCCGCCCUCCCGCGCUCGCUUCUCGCCCCGCGGCCUGGCCCGUGCGCCUCCGAGGCUGGCCAGGGGCACCGAGGCCGCGGGCCCCCCAUCGCCCCCACCCGAGCCCUGAUUUACCGUCCGAGAGCCGGCGGCACAUGGGACCCCGAGAGGAGAAGCGCGCCUGCCCCAGUGCGUCCCCAGGCGGGGGAGCCCCGACUCCUGGAGGGACCGCGUCCUGCCCGGCCCGGGAAGUUCAGGGCUGGAGAACCCCUUCCCCGACCCCAUUUCUCUUUUAACAAGAGUAGGGUUUGUAGCUAACCAACGUCCUGACAGCUCAGCUCUGCUUUCCCUUUAAGCAUUAAUAUCAAAGCCCUGCCUGCUACCGGUGAAGCCCCGACCCGGGAGGGCCCGAAAGUCCCUUCAGGGAGAGGCCGCACUGGGCCUGCUCACCCAGGGGCUGCCCCUGCAGACUCUCCCGAGGGGCCCAGGGAUAUUCCUCGCGCCGCGAGUGGACGCUUCCAUCCACCCCAUGGGGAGGGCCUCUGCGCGUGGCUACUCUGAGCCCUCUGGAAUGCCGAGAUAGUUGCAUAAUUUCAGAAACCACGGCAUGGAGACGGAAUGAUGCAGACUCCUAUCCGCGAGAUACCUGCUGUAAUUUCGCUGUGGUUCGUGAGGACGCGUCCUGGGCUGCCCUGAGAAGCCUACGUCUCCCCUUCGAGGCCCGGGAAGACCUCCAACCCCGCUGACAAUGCUGGGCCCUCAGCCAGACCUGCCCUGCGUGCCACGUUCUGUUCUAAGAUCGGGCUGCCGAGCUGUGGCCUGGAGGAAACCUGGCAGGUGUCACCAGAGCUUUGGGGAGGGUGAGGCCCUGUCGGGGAAGCCCAGUGGGAGUCAUGAAGGAGGGAACACGUGUGGAGCCCUUGUAGGGGGAGGGGCAGCCCUGCAGAGAUCUAAGAAAAAAUUCCAGAAAAAUGAGCAGCAACCUCCAAGGCCAGGCAUCGGUGCAGGGGACAAGGGGUCGUAGCUGGAGGGGCCUAGGUGAGGCUGCCGGGAAGGGACGAUGUGGUUGGUGGAGUGCACAGGCAGGGACCUCACUGGACUUUCCUGUCUGCUCAGCAUGGACAGGCAGCCCAGGAGAAGGCAGCACGUGGCCGGGUGCAGGGACGUACCACCCCCACUUCCCCAGGGGAGCUGGGGUCAGACGAGUCCCAGGCACUCCAUCCUCUGCAGCAAGUCAGGUUGUGAUUUACUAGGGGGUGGUGAAUAUAAUGGAGAGACUUCUGGGGAGGAAUUCCUGGCUCCCGCGUGGACUUGCAGAGCUCAACAGGCAGCCACGUGGCUGAGUGUCCAGCAAACAUCACAUAAGGCUUUGGGUCCUGCAGGUGGGGCUGCCAUGAGCAGCAAGCUCAGUCCAGAAGAACAGUUCCUCUCCAGGAUCCACUUCCUGCGCACUUUUAUGUGCAGUGUAGCUGGAGCAGAGCUCCCCGGAAUUCCACAGGCAACUGAGAACGGAGAGGGAUGCAGGCCAGCCAGGGAUCCAGCGUCUUCCCCAUCGUCACUCUCCAUGGCCUCCGUCUACACACAGUGUUCGUCUGCACAGCUUGUCAGCGCGUUAUCAUGACUUCUAUUUGGCACCGGCCCGUCUGUCCACUGUCCUGGCUUGUUCCAAGCGCUGCCUUCUCCAACUGGGGUCCUGGCUGCAGAGCUGUCUGCUCCCCACGUUGGGCAACUCCAGCCAAGAUUCCUACACCCAAAUGUGACCGUGUUGCUCACGAAGAAGGCUCAGCUUUGCGUGUGCCCAGCCGUGUGCACAGCUCGUCCCAACUCCUGCGGGUGGCACCUGCCUCUCCCACCUCCAGUCUUUCCCCUGUGAUGAGCAGAUGACCACCGCCCUCCAGGGUCAGCGUUUGGCUGUUUGUGUGCCUGCCCACCCGCCUCCCUGUGCCUGGGCCUGCCCUGUGCCUGCACACAGGAGUGGCUCAUGGCGUUUGCCCUACACGGAUGGGCUGUCCUGGGAGCUACUGGACAGUCACCUUGGUGGGAAUGCCAGAGGCAUGGGCAUUAGGUCCCCCCGGCCAGCCUCCGUUGCCACAUGGGCUAUUUUUGUCCAUCGCGUGGGACAACCUAGUAUUGGGGGAAAACUCAGUCCACUCUAAAGAAGCAUCGGCGUUUUGGAUGGACGAAUGCUGCUUCAUGCGACUCCAUGUCAAUGGACUAUUUUAUUCAACUCGGGUAUUUAUGAGUGUCUCCUCUGUGCCAGCCACGUGUGAAAGAAGAACUCCAAGUUACUGGACACCAGGACAAACCAGGUAGAUCACUGCAUCCGGUUCCUCCUCUUUCUGCCGACUCUCCCGGGCAACCGUUCUGAUUCCUGGCAUGGAGUUGGGGGCGAGCUCAUCAGUACCCAGAGCGCCUGGUGUGCAGCCAAAGGCCCCCAUUUUAUUAGUCGGUGUGUUCAGUAUCACGCUCAAGACAAGGGCCAACCUAUUACUUCACACACCUCAAAUACAAAAAGUGCCUGGGAACGUCGAUGAGGUAUUAAAGGAAACCACUGGUCUUGUCAGUCAUGUACACACAGAAAAAAAAACCAGUCAUUUUUAUUUUUAUUUUUUGAGACAGAGUUUCGCUCUUGUUGCCCAGGCUGGAGUGCAAUGGUGCAAUUUCAGCUCACUGCAAUCUCUGCCACCCGGAUUCAAGCAAUUCUCCUGUCUCAGCCUCCCGAGUAGCUGGAAUUGCAGACACCCAUCACCACGCCCAGCUAAUUUUAUGUAUUUUUAGUAGAGAUGGGGUUUCACCAUGUUGGUCAGGCUGGUCUUGAACUCCUGACCUCAGGUGAUCCACCCACGUCAGGCUCCCAAAGUGCUGAGAUUACAGGCAUGAACCACUGUGCCCAGCCGAAAACAACCAAGAAUUUUUUAACAAUAAAAUGACCAGCAAGUAAACUUGAAACAAAAAUGGACAAAUAUCUAAAAUAUUUUUAAAUGUAUGUAUUUUAAUUGGCAAAUAAUACUUGUAUAUAUUGUUUACAACUUGUUUUAAAGUAUGAAUACAUUGUGGAAUGGCUAAAUCAAGUUAAUUAACAUGCAUUAACUCACAUACUUUUUGUUUUUUGGUGUGGUGAGGACACUUAACAUCUACUCUCUUAGCAAUUUUCCAGUCACCAUGUCCUACUAUAGAUCCCUAGAACAUAUUCCUCCAAUGUAACUGAAAUGUAUCCCUUGACCAACAUCACUGCCCGGCCCCAGCCCCAGGUAAACACCAUUCUACCCUCUGCUUCUGUGAGUUCAGCUUUUCUAGAUUUCACCUGUGAGUGAGAUUGUGCAGCAUUUGUCUUUCUGUGCCUGGGUUUUUUCACAUAAUGCCCUUCUGGUUCAUCUAUAUUGUCAUAUAUGGUAGCAUUGUCUUCCUUUGUAAGGCUGACUGGUAUACCAUUGCGUAUAUACACCACAUUGUUUACCUAAAAUAUUUUUUAAUACAAUCGCUGAAAACUGC